UCAACAAUCCUUUGACGUGACGUCAACAAUGCUUGAACGUUUUAUAAUGAUGUUAAUUGUACAAAUGUGCGAAUACAAUCGCUGUUUGACAUUUAUAAAGAAUAUAUUUAUUUUAAAUGUAUAAAUGUAAAAUGUGCAUGGAACUAGUACUACCAAAGGACGACAGCUAACUACUGUGCCGUUUUGUUGCAAUAUUGUUUACCAGUGUUGAGAGGAUGUAACAAAAGAGAUAACAAGAAAAACAACUGGCACUUCUGGCAGCCCAAAACCUCACAAUAAUCAUCAGACCAUACUGCACCGCUCUGAUGUUGCUCCAUUUCCGGUCUAAAGCGAGAAAUGCCAUUAUGAAGAAUGACACCGUCAGGUUAGCGCGUUCAGUUUCAUCGACGGCAUUCGGAGACGUCCGCGAAACGGGUGUGGCUUAGUGGUGGAACGCUUGCUUGAGGAGCGCUGAGUCGCAGGAUCGAUAGCCCUGAGUGGGCUCGGGUUUUUACCACUCCUAAUCAGUGCCCCCCCCCCCCCCCACACACACACACACACACGUCUAGUACACCAAAGGCCGUAGUAUGUAUUGUCUUGUCUAGAAAAGAUGCAGGUUUUCCAUAUUAGUAUUAGACGGCAACAGGUUAUCUUUCCCUAUCCCUCCCUUCCUCCCUUCUCUCUCUCUCCUUCCCUCUCCCCCCCCCCCCCCUCUCUCUCUCUCUCUCUCUGUCUGUCUGUCUGUCUGUCUGUCUCUCUCUCUCUCUCUCUCUCUCUCUCUCUCUCUCUCUCUCUCUCUCUCUCUCUCUCUCUCUCUCUCUCUCUCUCUCUCUCUCUCUCUCUCUCAGCAGACAGUUAAACUAAACAACUAAUUAAACUAAACCUAUCGAAUUACAUGUCGUUAUAUCUUCAUACUAACUAUAUACCAGACAUAUGUGAUAUAAGAAAAUAAGACGU